GUGCCUAAUACAUGCAAGUAGAGCGAAUCAUUGGGAGCUCUGCUCCCAUUGGUUAGCGGAGGACGGGCUGAGCAACACGUGGGCAACCUGCCUGUAAGACUGGGAUAACUUCGGGAAACCGGAGCUAAUACCGGAUAAUUCUUUUCCUCUCAUGAGGAAAAGCUGAAAGACGGUUUACGCUGACACUUACAGAUGGGCCCGCGGCGCAUUAGCUAGUUGGUGAGGUAACGGCAUCACCCCCGGCGCGAUGCGUAGCCGACCUGAGAGGGUGAUCGGCCACACUGGGACUGAGACACGGCCCAGACUCCUACGGGAGGCAGCAGUAGGGAAUCUUCCACAAUGGACGAAAGUCUGAUGGAGCAACGCCGCGCUGAGCGAUGAAGGCCUUCGGGUCGCAAAGCUCUGUUGUUAGGGAAGAACAAGUACCGGAGUAACUGCCGGUACCUUGACGGUACCUAACCAGAAAGUCACGGCUAACUACGUGCCAUCAGCCGCGGUAAUACGUAGGUGGCAAGCGUUGUCCGGAAUUAUUGGGCGUAAAGCGCGCGCAUGCGGUCCUUUAAGUCUGAUGUGAAAGCCACGGCUCAACCGUGGAUGGUCAUUGGAAACUGGUGGACUUGAGUGCAGAA
rnacentral:rRNA from 1 species